rnacentral:rRNA from 1 species
UACGUAGGGUGCGAGCGUUAGUCGGAAUUACUGGGCGUAAAGCGUGCGCAGGCGGCUUCGCAAGUCAGACGUGAAAUCCCCGGGCUUAACCUGGGAAUGGCGUUUGAAACUACGUGGCUGGAGUGUGGCAGAGGAAGGUGGAAUUCCAGGUGUAGCGGUGAAAUGCGUAGAGAUCUGGAGGAACACCGAUGGCGAAGGCAGCCUUCUGGGCCAACACUGACGCUCAUGCACGAAAGCGUGGGGAGCAAACAGG